UGCAAGUCGAGCGGAUGAAGGGAGCUUGCUCCUGGAUUCAUCGGCGGACGGGUGAGUAAUGCCUAGGAAUCUGCCUGGUACUGGGGGAUAACGUCCGGAAACGGGCGCUAAUACCGCAUACGUCCUGAGGGAGAAAGUGGGGGAUCUUCGGACCUCACGCUAUCGGAUGAGCCUAGGUCGGAUUAGCUAGUUGGUGGGGUAAAGGCCUACCAAGGCGACGAUCCGUAACUGGUCUGAGAGGAUGAUCAGUCACACUGGAACUGAAACACGGACCAGACUCCUACGGGAGGCAGAAGUGGGGAAUAUUGGACAAUGGGCGAAAGCCUGAUCCAGCCAUGCCGCGUGUGUGAAGAAGGUCUUCGGAUUGUAAAGCACUUUAAGUUGGGAGGAAGGGCAGUAAGUUAAUACCUUGCUGUUUUGACGUUACCAACAGAAUAAGCACCGGCUAACUUCGUGCCAGCAGCCGCGGUAAUACGAAGGGUGCAAGCGUUAAUCGGAAUUACUGGGCGUAAAGCGCGCGUAGGUGGUUCAGCAAGUUGGAUGUGAAAUCCCCGGGCUCAACCUGGGAACUGCAUCCAAAACUACUGAGCUAGAGUACGGUAGAGGGUGGUGGAAUUUCCUGUGUAGCGGUGAAAUGCGUAGAUAUAGAGAAGGAACACCAGUACGCGAAGGCGACCACCUGCCACUGAUACUGACACUGAGGCUGCGAAAGCGAAGAGCGAGCAAGACAGGAUCUAGGAUAUCCCAUG
rnacentral:rRNA from 1 species